rnacentral:lncRNA from 1 species
AUACUACUCUGGAUCUGCUACAUGGCCCAGGUCCCCCUCUGUUCCAUUGUCUGUCACUGCUCCACAGUCUGAACCUGCCUCUGAUUCACGAGCCUGGCCCUCCAUCCCUCCCCCGUUCCGCCUCCACUCCACCACCUUCCUGGGGGGGGGGGGGGUGUAAUGUGGGUUUUGUUUCAUGUUUUGGUUUUUGUCAUGUUCAUGAUGUCUUUUAUUUAGCUUUUGUUUGAUUGCUGUUUGUUUCAUGCUUCCCUUGCCCUCUUAUCUUCAUGCUAUUGGUUCCUCUUGUUCAUUGUGUCAUGUUCUGAUUGGUUUAUUGUCUUGUCAUGUGAUUAUCAGUUCUGUUUGCUCAUUGGUUUGUUCAUGUCAUGUGACCCUCAUUGUCUGUUAUAAGUAGUCAUGUUUUUGCCAUUGUCUCUUGUCGUGUAAUGUUGUAACCUGCAGUCGGUGAGUCUAGUCUGUUGAUGCCAUGUCAAGUCUGUUCAUGCCACAUCAAGUCUGUUCAAGUCUAGUCAAGUCUGUGUUUGGAUGUUUGGAUUACACCUUGUAAAUAAACUGCACUUGGGUUCUCACUACGCUCGCCUUCAGUGGACUUGUUACUAUAUAUAUAGCAUAUUUCAAUGGGUAGUCUUGCUUAAUUUAAUCAAAUUUGGGCUUCAAAGAGCCCUGGCACAUAUUUAUUUUAUAAUAUCACUUUACCUAUGGAAAAUCAAUUCAAGCCACAAUUUUAAUGCAUUCAAUUUAUUUUUUUAUUUUUUGGGGGGAGAAUGAUUGGCCUGUUACAAUUCUCUCUUUCCCUUUAUGUGUAUACAGGUGAAUUUUGCACUGAAACAGAAGUCAGACAUUGAGCACUACAGGAAUAAGCUUAGACUGAAGGCCAAGAGGAAGGGAUAUUAUGGCAUCCCUUCUGCUGAGGGGAAAGAUAGCACUAAAGACCUAAGUCAGCAACACAAGUACAGCCAUGACAGGCCUCCACACCCACAGAGCAGAGCUCAGGCACUGGAGGAUGACAGGGGAUCCACAUUUGUAAAGUAUCACAGGAGGAGUUCAGAAGUAGGUACAAAAGCUGCUGUCACAGACAUGACUGGAUCAGAUAUUCAGUACAUCCUUUGCCUGGUCUCAUUAGCUGACUGAAAUGCCCUUGCUUUGGAGUUUUGUCUCAGUUUAAAUACUUAAUUUCCUUUUUGGAUCCAUUGGCACUCUGUCAAAUCUUGUGUAAUGUGUUGCUCAUUGUUUAAAGAAGGAGAGCGUACCUUUCUGCGGCUUUCAGCUUUCCAUUUGAUUAAGCCUCAGUUGCUGGAGACUACUGGCAUGGCUUAAAAUCUCACCCCAAUGAUUCGUUCAGAUGACAUUGGAGAAGAAAUUCUCUUGGUUUUAAUAUGAAGGCCUUUGGGAAAGUUGUUUUACUUAAAGCCUAUGAGAAAAGCAAAGUGUCCCAUUUUCUCCACAGUGCCAUAAAAUAAAUAAAUAAAAAUAGAUAGAUAGAUAGAUAGUGUGUGACUUUAAAGUACCUAUCGAGAAAAGACAAAGUAGUCCCAUUUUCUACCACAGUGCCAUAAAUAAAUAAAUAAAAAUAGAUAGAUAGAUAGAUAGUGUGUGUGUGUGUGUAUAAAUAUCUAUUAAUUUCUUUUAUAAAGUCAACCCCUCUGAAAGAACACUGAUUAUUUAAAUUAGUCUUACUGAGCAUUUCGAAAGGUCCUUUAAGGGGCUUUAUGUAUUUUUAAAACUGCUGAGGACAUUUAUUAAAACUUUGAGUUUUACUUACUUUUAUUAAAACUUUGAGUGAACUUUUAGUGACCCUUUAUAGUUAAGCGUCUUAUUUUUGCUGUGUUUUCUGAGUAAAAGUGCUAACCUCUGCUUUACUGUGAUCUGCUGUCUAGCUGGCUCAUAGCUUUGACGCAGGACUCAGAAUGAUGAAAUCUAAAUAAAGUUGUCUACACAGCGGCUCAAUCUUUGUGCUUAUUAAAGUAUUUCUUAUCAACUCC